rnacentral:lncRNA from 1 species
CCCGCCUCGCGGUGCGCGCAGACCCCAGCCAGCCGGUCCGCGGGGUUCCCGAGUCAGGAAGAAGGGAGGCGGCCUUGGCCGUCGCCCCUCGCAAUCGCGAGCACCUCGCAGAUCGCGAGGUUUUGAGUGCUCCUCUCAGGAGGAGGAGGAGGAGACCCACGUGACUAGACCUAUAUUGUCAAAGACAAGCCAGAAGAACCUAGAAAGGGUAGGAGGAAAGUUUUUCUCCUCCCCCAAUAGUUGGUGUAUCCGGCAGAAUCCUUCACUGGCUGGAAAAGCUGUUUUCCGAAGACUGCUGCAGAUAAAGAGAUCCUGGGACAUUUGACAAAAGCUGGCAGAAGACAGUGGCUUCCGAAGUGACACAUCUAGUGGCCCAUGGAGCAAGUUCUGUUCAGAAACCACGCGGCAAUGGAGGAGACCAUCUACAGGCUGUGCUUGCAUCCAGACCGUUCAGGUGUAAUCAGCAGCAACACAGCGGAGAUGAAUGACUUUGGAAAUAAUGGGAUCUGACAGCACCUUCUAUGCUUCCUGCUACAUUCUUUCUGCAACACUCCCAGAAACCAAAAAGCCCUUAGGAGCACCCAGGGAAUUUCACACGUCUAUAAGAAGAACAGUCUGUUAAUUGGGCUUGGUUAUUCCAUGGGGAUAUCCUUCCACAGAGUAUGUGCAUCAUGGAAGAACAUACAGCAUUAUCCAGUCCAGAGCCCUCUGGCUGAGCUUGCCAGAAGAAAGAGCACCCUGCCCUGAAUAAGGGACGAGGAUGGGCCCCCAGGGGGAACUGAAUUCACCCAGAAUCCUCUUCAGCUCGGGUCCUGAGGAUUUUAUCAAGAGCCUUCUGUAUACAGAGUGUAAGAUCAGAGACUGUUAAUAUUUCUUUCGCAUGCCGGCAGGGAAGACAAGCUCUAAAACCUUAAGAGAUGUUAUUGCAUCCGAUCCCACAAACUAAAUAUUUGUCAAGAGACAAGCCGUUCAGAGCAUAGAACUUGUUGAAGUCAAAUCCAGACACGUGGCAUAAUUAAGAAGAUACCCGUGUGUCUCCAAAUCAUGCAUGUUCAUUUGUCCAUCUAAACACUUGCCAAAAAGGAAUAGCCUAAUCUCAAGCUUUUGUCAAGUGAAAACACUUAAUGUUGCUUUUUAAAAGUAGCUCGUCCUUGAUGGGGAAAGUACAGAUAUGGUUUCUUCUCUCAUGGUCUUGGUCACCACAUAUGUAAUGUGACAUAGACCAGAAAACAAAUAGAUUCUGCAAGCAGAGCAGAGAAACACAGGGAAAAUCUUGUUCGGUCAUCGUUAAGAGAUUUGGGGGUUUGGGGUUUUGUGUUUAAGGUGCAGACUAAUGGAGUGACGAUCCUUUGAUGUGUAAUGUAAGGGGUACCAGUGAAAGGAUGCCUAGUCCAAAAGGUUUUCUCCACAUUCAGAUCACAGCGCCUGAAAGUCACUAUACACUUGGGGAGCCAGAGUACCUCCCAAGUUUCGGUCUCGAAUAGUCUCAAUGGGAAAGGUAAUUCAUGAGCCCGUUCAUCAGUGCGAUCAUCCUGUGUAGGACUUUCCGUGGCUUAUGUGUCUCUUUUCAGAGUCCCACGAGUUUGAGAUUGGAGGCAGGAGGACACAUCUAAAGCAUGAGAUUUUCUUUGUGAAGAAGGACUGAAAAAAUAAAGAAAACUAGUCAUUUGAGGCCCAUUAUGUUCCAGGCAUUGUACCUGCAUCAUCGAGAUCCAUUUAUUGAGUAACCCCUAGCAACCCAGGGACACCGAUGCUUUUAUCAGCCAAGCUUCUUGUCGUGGAAGGGAACACAAGCAAACUUAAAAGUUUCUUUUUGCUUUUUUUAAGUUAGAUAAUUAAAAAGUCUAGAAGUUUCUUCUUUCAUGU